rnacentral:rRNA from 1 species
CCGAAUGGGGAAACCCAGUGUGWCUCGUCACACUAUCAUUAACUGAAUCCAUAGGUUAAUGAGGCGAACCGGGGGAACUGAAACAUCUAAGUACCCCGAGGAAAAGAAAUCAACCGAGAUUCCCCCAGUAGCGGCGAGCGAACGGGGAGGAGCCCAGAGCCUGAAUCAGCAURUGUGUUAGUGGAAGCGUCUGGAAAGGCGCGCGAUACAGGGUGACAGCCCCGUACACAAAAGCGCAUGUGCUGUGAGCUCGAUGAGUAGGGCGGGACACGUGGUAUCCUGUCUGAAUAUGGGGGGACCAUCCUCCAAGGCUAAAUACUCCUGACUGACCGAUAGUGAACCAGUACCGUGAGGGAAAGGCGAAAAGAACCCCGGCGAGGGGAGUGAAAAAGAACCUGAAACCGUGUACGUACAAGCAGUGGGAGC